AAAAACUCUAGCGACGGCACGGGUGUCCGACUCACGACAACGAGGAUAGACAGCCGGUCCCCUCUGAACGGUAUAUAAUAUGAAACUUUAAGUCUCGUUCAGGUAGUGUGUAAGUCAAAAAUUCGAUGGGACUCGCAUCCGUCGUCCUCGCGCGGUCUUUCGUCCCGAUAUCCAGAAGCAGAGUUUGAAAAACUCUAGCGACGGCACGGGUGUCCGACUCACGACAACGAGGAUAGACAGCCGGUCCCCUCUGAACGGUAUAUAAUAUACAUUAUGCGACGAUGAUAGACGACAAACUGGAUGAAACUUUAAGUCUCGUUCAGGUAGUGUGUAAAUCAAAAAUUCGAUGGGACUCGCAUCCGUCGUCCUCGCGCGGUCUUUCGUCCCGAUAUCCAGAAGCAGAGUUUGAAAAACUCUAGCGACGGCACGGGUCUCCGACUCACGACAACGAGGAAAGACAGCCGGUCCCCUCUGAACGGUAUAUUAUAUGAAACUUUAAGUCUCGUUCAGGUAGUGUUUAAAUAAAAAAUUCGAUGGGACUCGCAUCCGUCGUCCUCGCGCGGUCUUUCGUCCCGAUAUCCAGAAGCAGAGUUUGAAAAACUCUAGCGACGGCACGGGUGUCCGACUCACGACAACGAGGAAAGACAGCCGGUCCCCUCUGAACGGUAUAUUAUAUGAAACUUUAAGUCUCGUUCAGGUAGUGUUUAAAUAAAAAAUUCGAUGGGACUCGCAUCCGUCGUCCUCGCGCGGUCUUUCGUCCCGAUAUCCAGAAGCAGAGUUUGAAAAACUCUAGCGACGGCACGGGUGUCCGACUCACGACAACGAGGAAAGACAGCCGGUCCCCUCUGAACGGUAUAUUAUAUGAAACUUUAAGUCUCGUUCAGGUAGUGUGUAAGUCAAAAAUUCGAUGGGACUCGCAUCCGUCGUCCUCGCGCGGUCUUUCGUCCCGAUAUCCAGAAGCAGAGUUUGAAAAACUCUAGCGACGGCACGGGUGUCCGACUCACGACAACGAGGAUAGACAGCCGGUCCCCUCUGAACGGUAUAUAAUAUGAAACUUUAAGUCUCGUUCAGGUAGUGUGUAAGUCAAAAAUUCGAUGGGACUCGCAUCCGUCGUCCUCGCGCGGUCUUUCGUCCCGAUAUCCAGAAGCAGAGUUUGAAAAACUCUAGCGACGGCACGGGUGUCCGACUCACGACAACGAGGAUAGACAGCCGGUCCCCUCUGAACGGUAUAUAAUAUACAUUAUGCGACGAUGAUAGACGACAAACUGGAUGAAACUUUAAGUCUCGUUCAGGUAGUGUGUAAAUCAAAAAUUCGAUGGGACUCGCAUCCGUCGUCCUCGCGCGGUCUUUCGUCCCGAUAUCCAGAAGCAGAGUUUGAAAAACUCUAGCGACGGCACGGGUGUCCGACUCACGACAACGAGGAAAGACAGCCGGUCCCCUCUGAACGGUAUAUUAUAUGAAACUUUAAGUCUCGUUCAGGUAGUGUGUAAGUCAAAAAUUCGAUGGGACUCGCAUCCGUCGUCCUCGCGCGGUCUUUCGUCCCGAUAUCCAGAAGCAGAGUUUGAAAAACUCUAGCGACGGCACGGGUGUCCGACUCACGACAACGAGGAUAGACAGCCGGUCCCCUCUGAACGGUAUAUUAUAUAUGCGAUGAUAGACGACAAACUGGAUGAAACUUUAAGUCUCGUUCAGGUAGUGUGUAAAUAAAAAAUUCGAUGGGACUCGCAUCCGUCGUCCUCGCGCGGUCUUUCGUCCCGAUAUCCAGAAGCAGAGUUUGAAAAACUCUAGCGACGGCACGGGUGUCCGACUCACGACAACGAGGAAAGACAGCCGGUCCCCUCUGAACGGUAUAUUAUAUGAAACUUUAAGUCUCGUUCAGGUAGUGUGUAAGUCAAAAAUUCGAUGGGACUCGCAUCCGUCGUCCUCGCGCGGUCUUUCGUCCCGAUAUCCAGAAGCAGAGUUUGAAAAACUCUAGCGACGGCACGGGUGUCCGACUCACGACAACGAGGAUAGACAGCCGGUCCCCUCUGAACGGUAUAUAAUAUGAAACUUUAAGUCUCGUUCAGGUAGUGUGUAAGUCAAAAAUUCGAUGGGACUCGCAUCCGUCGUCCUCGCGCGGUCUUUCGUCCCGAUAUCCAGAAGCAGAGUUUGAAAAACUCUAGCGACGGCACGGGUGUCCGACUCACGACAACGAGGAUAGACAGCCGGUCCCCUCUGAACGGUAUAUAAUAUACAUUAUGCGACGAUGAUAGACGACAAACUGGAUGAAACUUUAAGUCUCGUUCAGGUAGUGUGUAAAUCAAAAAUUCGAUGGGACUCGCAUCCGUCGUCCUCGCGCGGUCUUUCGUCCCGAUAUCCAGAAGCAGAGUUUGAAAAACUCUAGCGACGGCACGGGUGUCCGACUCACGACAACGAGGAAAGACAGCCGGUCCCCUCUGAACGGUAUAUUAUAUGAAACUUUAAGUCUCGUUCAGGUAGUGUGUAAGUCAAAAAUUCGAUGGGACUCGCAUCCGUCGUCCUCGCGCGGUCUUUCGUCCCGAUAUCCAGAAGCAGAGUUUGAAAAACUCUAGCGACGGCACGGGUGUCCGACUCACGACAACGAGGAUAGACAGCCGGUCCCCUCUGAACGGUAUAUUAUAUAUGCGAUGAUAGACGACAAACUGGAUGAAACUUUAAGUCUCGUUCAGGUAGUGUGUAAAUAAAAAAUUCGAUGGGACUCGCAUCCGUCGUCCUCGCGCGGUCUUUCGUCCCGAUAUCCAGAAGCAGAGUUUGAAAAACUCUAGCGACGGCACGGGUGUCCGACUCACGACAACGAGGAAAGACAGCCGGUCCCCUCUGAACGGUAUAUUAUAUGAAACUUUAAGUCUCGUUCAGGUAGUGUGUAAGUCAAAAAUUCGAUGGGACUCGCAUCCGUCGUCCUCGCGCGGUCUUUCGUCCCGAUAUCCAGAAGCAGAGUUUGAAAAACUCUAGCGACGGCACGGGUGUCCGACUCACGACAACGAGGAUAGACAGCCGGUCCCCUCUGAACGGUAUAUAAUAUGAAACUUUAAGUCUCGUUCAGGUAGUGUGUAAGUCAAAAAUUCGAUGGGACUCGCAUCCGUCGUCCUCGCGCGGUCUUUCGUCCCGAUAUCCAGAAGCAGAGUUUGAAAAACUCUAGCGACGGCACGGGUGUCCGACUCACGACAACGAGGAUAGACAGCCGGUCCCCUCUGAACGGUAUAUAAUAUACAUUAUGCGACGAUGAUAGACGACAAACUGGAUGAAACUUUAAGUCUCGUUCAGGUAGUGUGUAAAUCAAAAAUUCGAUGGGACUCGCAUCCGUCGUCCUCGCGCGGUCUUUCGUCCCGAUAUCCAGAAGCAGAGUUUGAAAAACUCUAGCGACGGCACGGGUGUCCGACUCACGACAACGAGGAAAGACAGCCGGUCCCCUCUGAACGGUAUAUUAUAUGAAACUUUAAGUCUCGUUCAGGUAGUGUGUAAGUCAAAAAUUCGAUGGGACUCGCAUCCGUCGUCCUCGCGCGGUCUUUCGUCCCGAUAUCCAGAAGCAGAGUUUGAAAAACUCUAGCGACGGCACGGGUGUCCGACUCACGACAACGAGGAUAGACAGCCGGUCCCCUCUGAACGGUAUAUUAUAUAUGCGAUGAUAGACGACAAACUGGAUGAAACUUUAAGUCUCGUUCAGGUAGUGUGUAAAUAAAAAAUUCGAUGGGACUCGCAUCCGUCGUCCUCGCGCGGUCUUUCGUCCCGAUAUCCAGAAGCAGAGUUUGAAAAACUCUAGCGACGGCACGGGUGUCCGACUCACGACAACGAGGAAAGACAGCCGGUCCCCUCUGAACGGUAUAUUAUAUGAAACUUUAAGUCUCGUUCAGGUAGUGUGUAAGUCAAAAAUUCGAUGGGACUCGCAUCCGUCGUCCUCGCGCGGUCUUUCGUCCCGAUAUCCAGAAGCAGAGUUUGAAAAACUCUAGCGACGGCACGGGUGUCCGACUCACGACAACGAGGAUAGACAGCCGGUCCCCUCUGAACGGUAUAUAAUAUGAAACUUUAAGUCUCGUUCAGGUAGUGUGUAAGUCAAAAAUUCGAUGGGACUCGCAUCCGUCGUCCUCGCGCGGUCUUUCGUCCCGAUAUCCAGAAGCAGAGUUUGAAAAACUCUAGCGACGGCACGGGUGUCCGACUCACGACAACGAGGAUAGACAGCCGGUCCCCUCUGAACGGUAUAUAAUAUACAUUAUGCGACGGUAGACGAUCAACUAGACGAAACUUUAGUCUCGUUCAGGUGGUGUAAAAAAAAUUCGAUGGGAUACGCACGCACGGCUGUCGUCGUCCUCGAGCGGUCUUUCGUCCCAAUAUCCAGAAGCAGAGUUUGAAAAACUCUAGCGACGGCACGGGUGUCCGACUCACGACAUCGAGGCUUCGAAGCCGGCGGCGUUCCCCUCUGAACGAACUUCGGCUAGACUAGUUACGAAUCGUUGCUACACAUCGUCUUCAUCGUCGUCGUCGUCGACAUCGACAUCAUCAUCAUAUCAUCAUCAUCAUCAUCAUCAUCAUCAUCGGUCAUCGUCGCAUAGCGGGCCAACAUCCACGCGAUGCGUCUUCGUUCUAGGUUACCCGAUCCACGAGUAUGUUACACGUGGUUUCGU